AUGAACUCCUUAGCGAAGGAGAAAGAUGACGAAAUCAAAGAACUCAAAAAUCGCCAACCUGAGAUCGCUAGUCUGAAGCACAAGUGUGCCUCUUCCUUAUCAAAUGAGACUAGUAAAAAGCGCAGGACGGAUAUCAUUGGAAUGCAUAUAGCUUCUAUUCGGCGAUGCAAGUCCGGCAGACAGUGUUUUGGACGUCGCACAAUGCAAAUCUUAGUCAAGACCACAAAUAGCAGGACCUACACUCUUAAGGUGAAGAGUUCAAAUAAGAUCGAGGAUGUCGAGGCUAAAAUGCAUGAUCACCAUCUAGAUGUGCAGGGUCUUAUCUUUGCUGGCAAGAAGCUGGUGUAUGGCCGCACCCUGGCAGAUUACAACAUUAAGAAUCUGAGCACCCUACAGCUUGUCCUUCACCUGCGUAUUUCUGUCAAGACGCUGACUGGCAAAAUCAUUGAUCUUGCGGUUAAGAGUUCAGAUACCAUCAAGCACGUCAAGGCGAUGAUUCAGAGUCAGGAGAACAUUCCUUGGGAUAAGCAGGGUCUCAUCUUUGCCGGCAAGCGGCUGGAGGAUGGCCCCACCCUGGCAGAUUACAACAUUGAGACUUUGUGCACCUUUGAGCUUGUCCCUUUCCUGCAUGUGACAGUCAAGAUGCUGAACGGCGAGAGCAUUGAUCUUGCGGUUUUGAGUUCAGAUACAAUCGAGGAUAUCAAGGCGAUGGUUUAUGAUCAGGAGGGCAUUCCUUCGUACAUGCAGCGCUUCAUCUUUGCCGGCAAGCUGCUCGAGGAUUACCGUACCCUGGCGGACUACAACAUUCAUAAGUUGUGGGAGUGCGCGCUUCACCUUGUGACGUGCAUCGGAAGGAAUAGUGCGAUUCACAUCAAGAUGCUGACUGGCAAGACCAUUUUUCCUGCGGUUGGCAUUAAAGACACGAUUGAGGAUGUCAAGGCGAUGAUUCACAAGGAGGAGGGGAUUCCCCCAUCCCAGCAGUGCCUCUUCUUUGCUGGGAAGCCACUGCACAAUGACCGCACCCUGGAGAGCUACAUCAGCGGGGAUUUGAACGUCAUCGCCAUUCACCUUCUGCAUCGGCGCGCGCUGCUGCAUCGCUGGAUUGUGGACAGGGCGCGCAGGCUGCGGAACAAGCAGGAACUUGGGCACGGCUGUCUGUAA
rnacentral:rRNA from 1 species